rnacentral:rRNA from 1 species
AGGACGAACGCUGGCGGCGUGCUUAACACAUGCAAGUCGAGCGGAAAGGCCCUUCGGGGUACUCGAGCGGCGAACGGGUGAGUAACACGUGGGCAACCUGCCCUUAGCUCUGGGAUAGCUCCGGGAAACCGGAAUUAAUACCGGAUAUGACCUAGGCCGACAUCGGCCGUGGUGGAAAGUUUUUCGGCUAGGGAUGGACUCGCGGCCUAUCAGCUAGUUGGUGGGGCAAUGGCCUACCAAGGCGACGACGGGUA